rnacentral:rRNA from 1 species
UGGGGAAUAUUGCACAAUGGGCGCAAGCCUGAUGCAGCCAUGCCGCGUGUGUGAAGAAGGCCUUCGGGUUGUAAAGCACUUUCAGCGAGGAGGAAGGUGGUGAACUUAAUACGUUCAUCAAUUGACGUUACUCGCAGAAGAAGCACCGGCUAACUCCGUGCCAGCAGCCGCGGUAAUACGGAGGGUGCAAGCGUUAAUCGGAAUUACUGGGCGUAAAGCGCACGCAGGCGGUUUGUUAAGUCAGAUGUGAAAUCCCCCGGGCUCAACCUGGGAACUGCAUUUGAAACUGGCAAGCUAGAGUCUCGUAGAGGGGGGUAGAAUUCCAGGUGUAGCGGUGAAAUGCGUAGAGAUCUGGAGGAAUACCGGUGGCGAAGGCGGCCCCCUGGACGAAGACUGACGCUCAGGUGCGAAAAGCGUGGGGAGCAAAACAGGAUUA